ensembl:lncRNA
GAGACGGUCACCGUGGGGGCACGGAAGUGGGCUGAGGGCUCGAGGGUCCGUGCUGGGGCGGGGGUGUGCCCGCCCAGCCUCCCAUCCUCCAUGGCCACCGCCGGCUUGGGUGCCAUGCCACGCGUGUGGACGCUCCAGGCGGCUCCUCCACGCCUGGGUAGCAGCAGGAAGUCCCAGAGAGAAGCAUCUGAUUCCUCUGAGACUCCGGCCACGACUUGUGGCCCUGAGCACACAGACCUAAGAGCCGCCAGGACCCAGAGGCGGGCACUUGGGAUGCACAGAGAGUCCCAAAGUGUAGGCCCCAGGGCUCUCAGCUCUGACCCACUCAGCACCUGCAGUUAAGGCCACGUUCAUCUGUGUGAAAUUAUACGCUUUCAACCACAUUUAAAUAUCAGCUGUAAAUAUGAGUCAUAUUCCAUUCAUGGACAGACCCCACUGUGAAACCCACUCACCCAGCAGCGGACACCAGAUUGUCUCCACCUCUUGCUUAUGUUUAAAACGCUGCUGUGAAUUCGGGUGCUCGAUGAUCUCAAGACCUUGCUUCCGUCUGGGGGCGGGCACAUCUGCAAGUGGGCUUGCAGGGCCGCAUGGUAGCUCUGUGUUUCAGUUCUGAGGACGCUCCACUCUGUUUUCCAUGGCAUUUGCAUCGUUUACAUUCCAACCAGCAGUGCACAAAAGUUUCAAUUUCUCCACGUCCUCUCCAACACUUGUUUUGUUCGGAGGUAGCGUUGCCACAGUGGAGUGGCCUCUCACUGUGGUUUGAUUGGCGUCUUCCCGACAGUGACGCUACCUUUUCGGGCACUUCUUUUUUCGUUCGUUGAGGAGUUUCAAGAGUUUUUGUUCUUGCGUUUUAGAGGUUUUAGAAAGUAUAUCCUGGUUAUUAAACCUUUAUUGGAUUUGUAGUUGGAGACUGUCUUCCCCUGUCCUGUGGGGCCUGCGCACUCGGGACAGUGUCCUCCCGUGCACAGAGAUUAUUCGAGAUUAUUCUGAUGACGUCCGAGCAAACAGACGGGGGAAAAUGGAAACAGUGACAGACUUUCUUUCUUGGACUCCAAAAUCACUGCUAUGACAAACCUAGAAGACGUAUUAAAAAGCAGACACGUUACUUUGCCAACAAAGGUCUGAUCAAAGCUGUGGUUUUUCCAGUGGUCAUGUAUGGGUGUGAGAGUUGGACCAUAAAGAAGGCUGAGCCCCAAAGAAUCGAUGCUUUGCAACUGUGAUGUUGGAGGAGACUUGAGAGUCCCUUGGACUGCAAGGAGAGGUCAGUCCUAAAGGAAAUCAAUCUUGAAUAUUCAUUGGAAGGACUGAUGCUAAAGCCGAAACACCAAUUCUUGGCCACCUGCUGCAAAGAGCCGACUCACUACAAAAGACCCUGAUGCUGGGAAAGAUUGAAGGCAGGAGGAGAAAGGGAUGAAAUAGGAUGAGAUGGUUGGAUGGCAUCACUGACUUAAUGGACAUGAGUUUGAGCAAGCUUCAGGAGACAGUGAAAGAAAGAGAGGGAAACUUGGUGUGCUGCACUCCACGGGGUUGCGAACAGUCGGACACAACUGAGCGACUGAACAACAACGAAAAAAAUCACCGCAGAUGGUGACUGCAGCCAUGAAACUAAAAGAUGCUUGCUCCUUGGAAGGAAAGCUAUGACAAACUAGAGAGUGUAUUAAAAAGCAGAGACAUCACUUUGCCGACAAAGGUCUGUCUAAUCAAAGCUAUGGUUUUUCCAGUAGUCAUGUAUGGAUGGGACAGUUGGAGCAUAAAAAAGGCUGAGCGCCAAAGAAUCAAUGCGUUCAAACUGUGGUGCUGGAGAAGAUUCUUGAAAGUCCCUUGGACAGCAAGGAGAUAUAACCAGUCAAUGCUAAAGGAAAGCAACCCUGAUUAUUCAUUGGAAGAACUGAUGCUAAAGCUAAAGCUCCAGUACUUUGGCCACCUGAUGCGAAGAGUUGACUCACUGGAAAAGACCCUGAUGCUGGCAGAGACUGAAGGAGCAGGAGAAGGGGACAACAGAGGAUGAGAUGGUUGGACGGUAUCAUCAACUCAAUGGACAUGAGUUUAAGCAAACUCUAGGAGACAGGGUCGGACAGGGAAGCCUGGUUGCUUCAUAGAGUCACAAAGAUUGGACAUGACUUAGCGACUGAACACCAACAUAGCUACGAGUUUAUUUCUGAUUCUCUCUUGUUCUCCAUGCCCUAGGUGUCUGUCCUAGCCUUAGGAAAACAGCACACUGUUUUGAAUGCUGUGCCUUUGUAGGUAGGGAGUCUUGAACUUGGGAAAUGUAUGUCUUUUUUCUUUUUCAAGAUUAUUUUGGCUAUUCAGGGCCCCUUGCAACCC